rnacentral:rRNA from 1 species
CGUGUAGGCGGUAAUGUAAGUCAGACGUGAAAUCCUUUGGCUCAACUGAAGAACUGCGUCUGAAACUGCAUGACUAGAGUGCAGAAGAGGGAAACGGAAUUCCUGGUGUAGAGGUGAAAUUCGUAGAUAUCAGGAGGAACACCGGUGGCGAAGGCGGUUUCCUGGUCUGACACUGACGCUGAGGCGCGAAAGCGUGGGGAGCAAACAGGAUUAGAUACCCUGGUAGUCCACGCUGUAAACGGUGGGUACUGGGUGUGGGAGGUGUAAUGCCUUCUGUGCCGAAGCUAACGCGUUAAGUACCCCGCCUGGGGAGUACGGCCGCAAGGUUGAA